CCAAUAGCGUAUAUUAAAGUUGUUGCAGUUAAAAAGCUCGUAGUUGAAUUUCGGGGUUCUACCGUUGGUCGGGCUAUCCUGUCUGUACUAGCGUGUAGAAUUUCUACCUUCUGGGGAACCAUCAUGUUAUUAAUUUGGCGUGGUGGGAAACCAGGACCUUUACCUUGAAAAAAUUAGAGUGUUCAAAGCAGGCUUACGUCUGAAUACAUUAGCAUGGAAUAAUAGAAUAGGACGGUGGUCCUGUUUUGUUGGUUUCUGAAUCACCGUAAUGAUUAAUAGGGAUAGUUGGGGGCAUUAGUAUUCAAUUGUCAGAGGUGAAAUUCUUGGAUUUAUUGAAGACUAACUUCUGCGAAAGCAUUUGCCAAGGAUGUUUUCAUUAAUCAAGAACGAAAGUUAGGGGAUCGAAGACGAUCAGAUACCGUCGUAGUCUUAACCAUAAACUAUGCCGACUAGGGAUCGGACGAUGUUUAAUUUUAUUGACUCGUUCGGCGCCUUACG
rnacentral:rRNA from 1 species